rnacentral:rRNA from 1 species
CCUACGGGGGGCAGCAGUGGGGAAUAUUGCACAAUGGGGGAAACCCUGAUGCAGCGACGCCGCGUGAGUGAAGAAGUAUUUCGGUACGUAAAGCUCUAUCAGCAGGGAAGAAAAUGACGGUACCUGACUAAGAAGCCCCGGCUAACUACGUGCCAGCAGCCGCGGUAAUACGUAGGGGGCAAGCGUUAUCCGGAUUUACUGGGUGUAAAGGGAGCGUAGACGGCAGCGCAAGUCUGGAGUGAAAUCCCAUGGCUUAACCAUGGAACUGCUUUGGAAACUGUGCAGCUAGAGUGCAGGAGAGGUAAGCGGAAUGCCUAGUGUAGCGGUGAAAUGCGUAGAUAUUAGGAGGAACACCAGUGGCGAAGGCGGCUUACUGGACUGUAACUGACGUUGAGGCUCGAAAGCGUGGGGAGCAAACAGGAUUAGAUACCCUAGUAGUC